GUCAAUUGCAUACCGCUUUUAGCUGUACACAUUAAUUAACUUAAACAGUUUUCGUAAAUGCAUUUCAGAGAAAAGUGAAUUCUGAGAUUUGAAUAAUGCAUCUGACGUGUGUGAUGACGUCACGACGCACGUAUUUUGAUUUUUACCAGUCGUUCAAGACGGACGGGUUCAGUCCCAAGAAGCUAAAGUUUUUCAAAGACAUUUGUAGGAAGGACUUUGCAGCUAAUGAUUUCCUUAGGCUGAACCAAAACCUGCCAGACUAAAGUUGAUUUGGGAGAGAAAGACGUUGUAAACUCACUCAUCUUGACAUUCUUCAAUGAGUAAUUGUUCAAUUUUUAGGCAAAUACUGUACACUUUGAAUGGUGUGAAUAAAACUAUAUUUUAAAUAUA